UACCAGCUCUCCGAGUGGUAGGGAUGAUUAUUGGGCUUAAAGCGUCCGUAGCUGGCCUUUCAAGUCUCUCGUUAAAUCCAGCGAUUUAAUCGUUGGACUGCGGGAGAUACUGUUAGGCUAGGAGACGGGAGAAGCCGACGGUAUUUUCGGAGUAGGGGUAAAAUCCUAUAAUCCCGGGAGGACCACCAGUGGCGAAGGCUGUCGGCUAGAACGCGCUCGACGGUGAGGGACGAAAGCUGGGGUAGCGGAACCGGAUUAGAUACCCGGGUAGUCCCAGCUGUAAACUAUGCGGGCUAGGUGUUGGGGUGGCUACGAGCCACUUCAGUGCCGCAAGGGUAACGCCAUUAAGCCCCGGACCGCCGUGGGGGAGUAACGGCCGCAAGGCUAGAAAACCUUAAAGGAAUUGGCGGGGGAGCGACCACAAGGCGUGAAGCUUAGCGUUC
rnacentral:rRNA from 1 species